CUUGACAUGUCCGGAAGCCCGCUGAGAGGCGGGGGUGCCCGAAAGGGAACCGGAACACAGGUGCUGCAUGGCUGUCGUCAGCUCGUGUCGUGAGAUGUUGGGUUAAGUCCCGCAACGAGCGCAACCCUUGUCCCUAGUUGCUACGCAAGGGCACUCUAGGGAGACUGCCGGUGACAAACCGGAGGAAGGUGGGGAUGACGUCAAGUCCUCAUGGCCCUUAUGGGUAG
rnacentral:rRNA from 1 species